rnacentral:rRNA from 1 species
AGGGGGUCAUCCCGACUUACCAAACCGAUGCAAACUCCGAAUACCCAGAAGUGCCGAGCAUGGGAGACACACGGCGGGUGCUAACGUCCGUCGUGAAAAGGGAAACAACCCAGACCGCCAGCUAAGGUCCCAAAGUUGUGGUUAAGUGGUAAACGAUGUGGGAAGGCUUAGACAGCUAGGAGGUUGGCUUAGAAGCAGCCACCCUUUAAAGAAAGCGUAAUAGCUCACUAGUCGAGUCGGCCUGCGCGGAAGAUGUAACGGGGCUCAAACCACACACCGAAGCUGCGGGUGUCACGCAAGUGACGCGGUAGAGGAGCGUUCUGUAAGCCUGUGA